UACAGAGGUCCCGAGCGUUGUUCGGAUUCAUUGGGCGUAAAGGGUGCGUAGGCGGUUUUUUAAGUUUGAUGUGAAAUCCCGGGGCUCAACCCUGGAAUUGCAUUGAAUACUGAAGAGCUAGAGAUCUGGAGAGGAAACUGGAAUUUACGGUGUAGCAGUGAAAUGCGUAGAGAUCGUAAGGAAGACCAGUGGCGAAGGCGACUACCUGGCAUGUUCUUGACGCUGAGGCGCGAAAGCUAGGGGAGCAAACGGG
rnacentral:rRNA from 1 species